GAAGACAUAAUACCGUUAGAGAACUUCUCUCUAGUGGAAUUAUCACAGUAGACUAUGUAAAGUCAAAGGAUAAUGUGUCGGAUCCACUUACAAAAGGCCUAUCUAGAGAAGGAGUAGAAAGGACAUCCAAGGGAAUGGGUUUAAGGCCUAGGACAAGUCAGCGUGGCGGUAACUCUACCUAGCAGACUGGAGAUUCCAAGAGCUAGGUUCAAGGAGA
rnacentral:lncRNA from 1 species